CCCUGCACACCCCGAAUGCGCCCGAUCUCAUGGGAUCUCGGAAGCUAAGCAGCUGAGCCUGGUUAGCGCUUGGAUGGGCGACCACCGGCCCUGCCAGGUGUUGUAGGCA
rnacentral:rRNA from 1 species